ACUUUUGUUGGAGCCUGAAUGCAAGAGCCAUUCUCACUGGGAUGCCACAGCUCUGGAGACUUCUUAUAGAUGUUGUUUGGAACACUCCAGGCUUGGAGAUGGGCCUUUAGACACUGCCUGUAGUACUGCUUAGCAACAGCUCUACAGACAUAAAGAGAUUGCAGUGGCUGCUCCUUCCUGGCUCCACCAUUCAGCAAGAGCUCCACAGAGGAUGAAGAGAUCCUCCUAGCUUGGCGGAAUACUCUGCUCUGAUGGAAGUACCAUCCUGGUCCAAACAUGAAAGAAUUCCCAACAUCAAGAUUGAUUGAAACAUAUUCAAUGGUGUAACUGGAUCUUGGUUCAUGCUGAGCUUAAAAUUUGAUCUUCUGAAUAUCAGCAGAAAGACUCUUUCUGGUGAAUACAGAUCUUCUGAGCAAUUAUCGACUGACUUUGUCAUUAGACUGCCCUUUCAGAAGGUACAAAAAAAGAAAAAGAAAAUUACUACUGUGAAGUGAAGUCUGAGCAACUGGGAAGAAAUGCAAGGUGAAAUGAAAUGGUGAAGGUGGUGACCAGAUGGAUAUAAACGGGCUGUGGAAAAAGAGAAUGCAUGGCCAAAAAUGGUGGUGCUCUCUGUCCAAAAACUGAGGCCCUAUGACCAUGAAUGAAGCCAGAGGGCAGGUAGGAAUAGAUCAUUUGCUCCAGAAGAAGCUGGUUGCCAUGUCUUGAGGACAGUAAACCCUCUGGGGAGGUUCCUGUGGUAAGGAACAAGGGCUCCUGGCAAUAGCCUCUGAGUGAGCCACCUUGAAAAUGGAUUGUCCAGCCCCAGUCAAGCUUUCAGAUGACUGUAGCUCCUGCCAAUGUCUUCACCACAACCUCAUGAGAUCCCAAGCUACAACCACUCAGAACUUCAUCUUUUGGGAAGCACCAGGGAGAGCUGCCUGUGCCUGGCAGAAGCUGCCCAUGCCCCACUGAUACCCCACAGUACUUCCUGUUCUGCUUAGUACUCCUGCUUCUUUCUACAAACAACUGUGAUUCUCUACCUGGGAGCUUCCUCUGGCCACAGGAGCCUGCUCACCUGAUUGGGACACCCUAGCAGUACUGGCUCAUAGAUGGAAGGGACUUGCCUUGUCGCUGAUGAGACUUUCGACUUGGACUUUUGAGUCAAUGCUGGAAUGAGUUAAGACUUUGGGGAACUGUUGGAAGGGUGUGAUUGUGUUUUGAAUUGUGAGGACAUGAGAUUUUGAAGAGGCUAAUGGCAGCGUCCCCACCUAAAUCUCUUCUUGAAUUGUAGUUCCCAUAAUCCCCACGUGUCGUGGGGUGGAGCCGGUGGAGAUAAUUGAAUCAUGGGAACACUUUCCCCCAUGCUGUUAUUGUGAUUGUGAAUUCUCACGAGAUCUGAUGGUUGUAUAAACGCCUUCCCUCUUCGCUGGGCACUCAUUUUUCUCCUUCCUGCCACCAUGUGAAGAAGGAUAUGCUUGCUUCUUGUGCCAUGAUUACAAGAACACACUCAGAAAUUUUCUCAACACAGUUUCUAUGCAGAGAAGAGAUGUGGGACAGAUUUGAACUGCUGUCAUAUUUGUAUGAACCCAAGACAUUUUCCAAGACCAAGAGGGAUAAAGACAGCAAUUUCUAUGACUGGCAUUUUACGUGCAUGCACUGUUUCCAAGUGUUCUUGUGUUCUGUGCCUUAAACAUUCUGUGUUGCAACUUUAUGAAUUGAAUUAAAGAUAAUCCCAAGCCCCCAAUUGUCUCAAAAAGUGAAAAAGUAAAUGUUAUAGAAAGAAAAGCGGGAAAAACUUUAAGCAUGAAAUAAAAGAUGGGUUGUGAUAAAAGAGGACUGAAGAAGGAAAAGGAAUGAAAGGUUCUGCCAUCCUUCAUGGCAGCCCACUCCACUUGGUAUGAGAUACUGCUCCCUUGGCUGAAAGUUAACUGCUGUACUCCCUCCACUUUCUAUAAAUGACUCCCUGUGCCUUUCCUUCACCACACAACUCACACUCUCUUCCUUCCUAGUGAGUCCACUAAGGCUUCACUGCAUUAUUACAUUUAUUUCAUUUAGGAAAAACUGACUUUAUUUUCCUUCAAAUUGUUUUUUAUUGUUUAUAUGAGCUUGGUUUUAUUGUCAUUCUAUUUUUCUCCAUGAAAAUAGAGAAAAAUAGGGUCGAAAGGUUAGGUUGGGUGGAAAGGAAUUAUAUUUUUUCUCACUAAAAUUGAUGUAAAUAUCGUUUUCAAUUGAAUGAUUUUACACAGUGGCACAGUUUCAGGUAUGUUGCUAAGCAGGAAAGUUGUUAACCAAAGCAUGAAUGUAUUAAGGAGAUGUAUGCAGAAUGACAUGCAAGGUUAUCUAUGAUUGCUGAGUGAGAAAGAGCAAGUUGCUGAGUAUUAUAUAAGUAUGAUCUCACUUUUGUAAAAAAAAAAAAAAAAAAAGGCCUGGACUGAUCUGAAAUGACCCUAUUAAUAACAAUUAUGUCCAGGUCUGUAUUGCAUACUUGUCAUUCAUUACAGGAUCUUGAGACACAAUGCAAAGGAUCACAUCGCAGCUCUGUAACUUGUUAACUAUAAGAUUUUGAGUAACAUAACACCUUACUCCUUAAAAUUGCUUAAAAAAAAUCUGAACAUCAGGAAUAUUCUACUUCACAGGGUCGUUGUGAUAAUUAAAUGUAGUAAUCAAUGACAAUAGUGCCAGAUACAGUAGAUAGCCUACACUUUGCAGCUACUAUUUCUAUCUAUCAUCCAUCUAUUAAUAUAUAUCAUCUAUCUUUAACUUAUCAUCUAUCUUGUUCCAGUUUUUUAAAAUGAACAUGUAUUAACUUUGUAAAAAAUUAAGGCUAUAAGAUGUGCUGAGCUUUUGGAAUAGAUUUUCCUGUACUAUAUAUGACUGCCAGUGGGAGAAUUUGAAUAAAUGUGUAAAUUUGACUAAAUCUGAAUAAAUGUUCAUUUGACGGGACCAUAGAUUUGGGGGUCUAGCACUAGCUCUGUUUCUACACUCCUGCUGCUGCCUGAUAGAGAUGCCUCUCUUGUUUUGGACUCCAAGGUAAAGUAAGCCUUUUCAUUUUGUGCAUCAUAAUUUAAAAUGACAAAUGGAAUCUAUUUUUUUCUCCAUCUAACGCAUAUAUAGCUACCAUUUAUUAAUUCUUGUUUCCUUCUUAUGUUGCUCUUUGUUGUCAUUUUUAAGGGAAGAAGAGACUGGGUCACGGGAAUGCUUUAAUGUGGAAACCCUGAAUUCGUUCCACACAUCUGCCUUCUGGGGACACAGGUAAAUGAGGCCGAGUAGUGAAGUGGGAAGUUCCUGAAAAUGUGACAGCAAGCCUCUGUCCACUGCCAGACCGAAGACAGGGAGGCGCUCAUCGGCAAAUUAAUGGAUGUUAAAGGGAAGCAAAAUAACACCAAGAUAGACUCAUGAAUU
rnacentral:lncRNA from 1 species